GCCAAAAACCUAGCCCCACCCCAAUACAAAAACCCCCCAAUACCAUUACAAACCAUUAACCACACCAAGUAGAUGUGUUCGAACAGCAAAACAUAAGGCGCACUAGCGUAAUAGUACCGCAAGGGACACAUGAAAGACCACCAUUAACCAUUAAAGCACCAAAAAGCAGACAUCAGCCCUCGUACCUUUUGCAUCAUGAUUUAGCAAGCACUUUACAGAUAAAGCGCCCUACCAACCUGUCCUCCCGAAUUCAGACGAGCUACCUAGAAGCAACCCAAACUCACAAGGGGUGAACCCGUCCCUGUAGCAAAAGGGUGGGAAGACUCCCAGGUAGAGGUGAAACGCCAACCGAGCCUGACGAUAGCUGGUUGCUCGAUUAAAACGAAUAAAAGUUCGACUUUAGCCCACCAACCCAACCACAUUAUGGCAACUAACCGGACUAAAAGAUAUACAACAGAGGUACACCCCUAUUGUAACUGGGUACAACCAGCACCAGAGGGCCCAAAUCACCACUACCACUACGUAGGCCCUAAAGCCGCCACCAACAAUCGCGUCAAAGCGAACAGAACCAUAAUUCAACCAAACAUAUUCACCCCCUAACACAAACCGAGCCACCCCAUACAAAAAUGGGGGAAAUACUGCUAAAACUAGUAAUACGAACUACUUCACUACUGCACAACCGUCAGCCGCCCCUAGACCACCUGCCGGCAAUUAAACAGCCUUUAAAACAGAAACCAAGAAAGACCAAACGAGACCAACUAAAUAACAUCACUGUAAACCCAACACAGGAGUGCAACCCAAUAGAUUAAACGCCACAAAAGGAAUUCAGCUAAUAUGUCCUACCUGUUUACCAAAAACAUCGCCUUUAGCCAUACUAGUAUUAAAGGUCCUGCCUGCCCAGUGAAACCCCACUUUCAACGGCCGCGGUAUCCUAACCGUGCAAAGGUAGCGUAAUCACUUGCCCCCUAAAUAGGGGCCCGUAUGAACGGCCAAAUAAGAACAUGCCUGUCUCCUAUGGCAAAUCAAUGAAACUGAACCCCCAGUACAAAAGCUGGGAUACACACACAAGACGAGAAGACCCCGCGGAGCUUAAAACAAUGAUGCUAUCUUACAAGUCACACCCUAAACAAUAGCAGACGUUUUUGGUUGGGGCAACCACGGAGAAAAACAAAACCUCCAUGAAACAGGGACACUCCCACCCAAGGCCAACACGCCAACGCCAUAAAAUUGACCCAGUACCACACUGAUCACCGAACCAAGUUACCCCGGGGAUAACAGCGCUAUCCUCUCUAAGAGUCCAUAUCACCAAGAGGGUUUACGACCUCGAUGUUGGAUCAGGACACCCCUGUGGUGCAGCCGCUACUAACGGUGCGUUUGUUCAACGCUUAAAGUCCUACGUGAUCUGAGUUCAGACCGGAGCAAUCCAGGUCGGUUUCUAUCUGUGUAUGACCUCCUCAGUACGAAAGGACCAAGAGGUCGAUGCCCCUAGAUCACCCACGCAUUAAACCAAACACUGACAACCAACUAAAGAAAAACAAUACACCCACCCCCAGACAAGGGAAUCAAU
rnacentral:rRNA from 1 species